AAAUUUAAUUCAGUAAGUUAAGUUAGACCGUAAAGGAAUCAGAUGCUUAGGGAAUCAAUGGCUGAACUGGAAGAACGAGAGUCAGAGUAGGCAAUUUACUCUCUCAGGUGUUGUCGUUUUCAGAAAGUCUCUGGAAUCAUAGGAACCCACUGGCUGUGUUCGCAGCUGACUACAGAACUAAGCUCGUGGUGAUUCCCAGGAAAACACCUAGAGGCAGGUGCAAAACAUUGCAUUUGCUGAAGCCCAUAAAUCUGGGGCUUUGUCUGUCUCCAAUGGAGAAACAAUAAUAUGGUUUCUGCCUCUCUUUUGCCUCUCAAAUCUCAUGCUAGUGCUUCUGGCUGGUGCAUUCUAACCUGGAACCCUGCUGAUGGGAAUUGUGAGGAAUGUGGCUUCCAAGCUUCUGGCUCCUACGACACGGAGGCGAGCUUGGGGCAGGCUCCUUCUUUCCAGUGUUACCUUUGUUCUCUGAACACACUUCAUGCUUACAAACCUCUCUAGGAACUUAGGAGUCAGAGAGAGCUGAGGAGAAGAGAGUGCCAGGAGAAGAGAAUCGAAGAGGCAUUGCACGUGCUGGAUGUGAAAGAAAGGAACUCAGAGAAGAGUAAGUGACUGAUUCCGCCACCACCGAAAAUUUCUACAGUGUUGUAAGAAGACUUUAAUAAUUCAAAUGCCACUCUUUGAGAGAAGUGACAGUAUGCAUAUAAACAUAGCACGGUAAACGUUUAGAGUCUAAAUUAAACUCCGGCUGAGAGGUUUUUCCCAACAGAUUUUAAAUUCACAGAGAGAUGCUGAACGAUUGGCCUGAACUGACUGGUCUCUUGGCGAGGCUGAAAGCAAGAUGCCCUCUGGCUGCUCUCUCUCCCUCAGAUGCUGCCGAGCGUCUGCUGUGGCCUUUGGCAAAAGUAAGGAUUGUGCCUUGAAAACACCAUUUUGCCUGAGAUAAUUGUCUAAGGGUUGGGGACUGUUUACCUCCUAAAUUUCCAGGAUGGAGCCUUUGCACAUGUGUUGUAUUACUUUGUUAGAUUUUUAUAAAAAGUGAGGCAUGUGAGUGAGUGGUGUUGAGUGAAUUCAGCUGCCAGUAUCCUGAAGCUAUCACAAUGAGUUUAGUUUCCUUAAUUUAUAUUCUCCGAGAACAUCAUCCGUUUUGUACAGGAUUUCAAACACGCAUGCGGAAAGUGGCUUCUAACCUUGUCUUUGAGUCAUUUCCUGCUAAUAAUUUCUCUUUCUGUGCUCCUCUUAUUGUUUCUUUUCUUUCUUUCCCCUUGACUCGUUUACCUAAUGGCCUAUCUAUCAAUAGUUUGUUCAAAGAAUUACUUCUUGGAAUCAUUUUCAUUAAUUUAUAUUUUAACUUUGUUAUCAGAACUUCCUCUCUGGUAUUGCGUUCGUUUACUUAUUUUUUGCCAGCAUCUUGAAUUGGAUGCUUAUUAAUUUUUAUUCUUUCCUUUUUUUUAAAUGUAAGCAUUUAAGGCUAUGAAUCUUCCUCUCAACACAACUUUACCUUUAUCACAUAGUUUCUAACACAAGUUAGUUUUGUUGUUAUUAUUUUCUAGAUGGCUGAUAGUUUAUUUUUUAUUUCCAUUUUGACUCAACAGUUGUUUUUUUUUUUUUUAAAUCGUGUGGUAUGUUUUUCUUUUCUGGUUUUGUUAUUAAUUUCUAGCUUUUUUAUUUUGUGAUCAAAACUAAGUUGCCUUUGCUAUUUUUACUUUUCAAAAUUUAUUGAGUUCUUUUUGCCCAUUAAGUGGACAAAUUUUGUUAAUGUUCUGUGGAUAUGUAAAAAAGUAAGAAUAGUCUCUCCUUUCAUGAUAUAAGCGUUGAAUGCACAGUGAUUACAUGCUACUUUAUUAAUUACAUUCUUUAGGAUGCCUAUAUUUUUUCUUAUUAUUUGUAUACUUGCUAUAUCAAGAGUGAGAGAGGUAAAUUAAUAUUCCUUAUUACUAAUGUAUUUGGCUAGUUCUCCUUGUAUAUCCUAUGCUUUUAAUUUUGUUAAUAUUAGUGCUAUGUUAUUUGACCAUAACUGAAAUUCUGCCUUGUAGAUUGUAUACAUUGUCUUACAGGGCAUGCUUCCUUGUAUAGUUUAUGUUUUUUUAUGUGUGUGGUUCAAAAAAAGAUGAUUAUGGCAUCUGUUUUCUUUUUCACUUGCCUUAUAUAUAUUUGUCCAUCUUUUUAUUUUUACUUUUCCCAUUUGUUUUAGGGGUCUCCAUGGCCAAACUAAUAGGUAGAUUUAGCUAACUAAUAUAAAAGACAUGUUAGGUGUUUUGUAUUUUAUCAUAUUACUGUAAUUUUUUGGUUUUUAUAUUUUUGUUUUUGAAACUUGCAAUAUGGUUUGAAUUUAUUUUGCUGCUUUCUUGUUUUGUGUAAUUUAUAAUCAAUUUGCAAUUAUUGUGAUUUUUUUCCUGAUGGUUACAUUUCUAACUGUAAAUUUAUGUAAUGCCCUUAAUUCUCUAUUUCUUAAUGGAGAGUCUAUUGCCUAGUUACUGUCACUAAUGAUAAAAUAAUUAUAUUUCUAUGUUUUCCCGUCUUAGAUCUUUCCUUUCCAUAUGUGAUCUUCUUUAAUAAUAAUGCUUAGUCUUUACAUUUAUUGCUUUCAUUGUUUUCAGACUUCAAGUGUAAGUACUGGGUUUAUCAGCUUUAAAUGACUCCUCCUUCCCCUACUUCCAGCUCCAAAAGAUAUGAACAUGAGGAGCUUAACUAAGAAAUGCCUUCAUGCUGGAUGUUCUGUGUGCAGUUUUUCCCUGAGAUACCCUGUGUCCUGUGAAUCUAUAGCAUGGCUUGAUGAGCAGUGCUAGGUCCGUGCCCAGGAUCCGAACCUGCAAACCCCUGGCUGC
ensembl:lncRNA